UACGUAGGGUGCAAGCGUUACUCGGAAUUACUGGGCGUAAAGCGUGCGCAGGCGGUUUUGUAAGCCCGAUGUGAAAUCCCCGGGCUUAACCUGGGAAUGGCAUUUGGGACUGCAAGGCUUGAGUGCGGCAGAGGAGACUGGAAUUCCUGGUGUAGCAGUGAAAUGCGUAGAUAUCAGGAGGAACACCGGUGGCGAAGGCGGAUCUCUGGGCCAUUACUGACGCUGAGGAGCGAAAGCGUGGGGAGCGAACAGG
rnacentral:rRNA from 1 species